rnacentral:lncRNA from 1 species
ACAGCUCUAUUUCUUGUAAGUUUUGGCGUACGAAAACGACAUCCUGUAAAAACCAGUAAAAUUAUUACUGGAUGGUGCGUACGCAAACAGGCCUAAGGUCUCAUUGGGAGACACCAGGAUUGAGUUGUGUAUGUCAAUGCCUAAAUACCUUCGUUGACUUAUUGACCAGAACCAUUGGCACCUUACUUUACAGCAACUUUGCAGAAUCAAUUGGUCCCCACGAAUGUCGACAAAUUCAACUAUUCGGCAUUUAAAGAAAUGUCGUUACCAGCGGAUGAACAAAAAUUUUUUCAAAUUUAAAAA